rnacentral:rRNA from 1 species
UACGUAAGUGGCGAGCGUUAUCCGGAAUUACUGGGCGUAAAGCGUGCGUAGGCGGUUUAGUGUGUGGGAAUUGAAAGCCCGGGGCUCAACUCCGGAUCCGGUUCCCAAACUGCUAGACUCGAGAGUAUCAGAGGAGAGCGGAAUUCCCGGUGUAGCGGUAAUAUGCGUAGAUAUCGGGAGGAGCACCAGUGGCGAAGGCGGCUCUCUGGGGUAUUUCUGACGCUGAGGCACGAAAGCCAGGGGAGCGAACGGG